rnacentral:lncRNA from 1 species
GGGCUGGCUGACUUUGUCCACAUGCAACUACAGACCUGGGGGCAGCAUGAGGACAUCCUUUCACAGAGGCAGCAAAUGAAGAAAAGAAAAAGGAAGCCACCCCAGCACUUUCUACCUUCUGCUUUGAUCAAGGCCAUGCAAAGAGGCUGGAUGAGGCCCAUUUACAUCCAAGACAGUUGUGGUGCUGGUCCACUGGAGCUGUGCAGCCACACGUGCUAUUUUCCAUCAAGCAGGAGACUCUGCUGGCCCAGCUGGCUGUGUGGGAGACCAGGAGUGUUGCUUCUGACCGGGUCCCCUAGACUUCAAGCAGCUCAUACAUUGCAUGAGGGGCUAUAGGACUCCUGCAUGCAAUGAGGAAGGCAGAAUAUGGCAAGUUCUCUCCUUAAGGUUUUGACUCAUCCAUGUAACAGAGAAAUGAAGAAUUUUAAUGUGGUCCAAAGCAAGAGCUCUGGAUGAAUUACAAUCUGCAAUUGCUCCAGGUAUUUGUGACACUGGAAAUGAACUCUUAUUUCUGCAGCCUUUGUACUUUGCUUCAUUAGACAUUACCUCGCCAAAAAUCAUCCCCACCCCACUUAGCAGAGAUGAGAUGCUGAAGAAUACCGCAGGGAGAACUACUUUUAACCAUAAUCCUGGAAAUGCUGAUGCCUGAGUUGUCCUAGUGAAAAACAUGUAUGACUCAUGGAGUUACACAAGCACAUUUAGUUCUGGAAAGUAGCUGUAGCUUUUCCAGAACAUCCCCUACAGUUCUUGGCAAGAGCUUGAGAGACCUUUCACACGUCCAGGAUGUCAAGUAAUGUAGUGAAUGAUAAAGAUCUGUAUGCUUAUGUGUAUAUUUAACCAUCAUUUAACAAAAAAUACUUUUAUUAGACAAGAAAGGGAUAUUAUCAUCAGUGUUAGUUCUCUGCUUGCUUUGCCUUGGGGCUUGUUUCUUUCUGCAUUGUAGCCAUUGUGAAAGGUGGUAGGGAAUCUAUCUGUAGAAAUUCCCCUCUGCUCAGAUAAGAAGAUGCAGUUUGGUAUUAUUUAGAACUUUCUAUAGUUUGUCUUAGCUAGAAAGAUCAUUUCUCUUCCCCCCACUGCCAAGAGAUACAAAGUCAUUAGUUACUUGGGGCUCAGUUUUCAAACAGUGUAGUGCAGUUACUGGUUGAGUUCACUUCUGACUUCCGCAAGAUCUUCAGGUACUCGAUACCUGGAAGAUAAUGCCAGUCAGUGGUAUUACAACCCAGAAAAGAAGAAUUAUGCCACUUAAUUAAUACAUGGUAAAAUAGCAGACC